ACGGAACCUUUAUCUUUAGCUCUUAUUGUGGAACUUUAGGAAUACUGAAUGAGAUAAUUGAAGAACCUGAUUUAUUCUAACGUGUUCUGUGUUUGUAGAACCGCGGGACGUCGGACGACAACGCCACCUACACGGGUCUGAACCGACGUUCUCCUGAAGGAGAAUAUAAAGAACUUCCUGUUCGAGACCGUCAGCGGAAGAACGAGCAGGUGUACCAGGGUCUGAGCACGGCCGCCAGAGACACCUACGACUCCCUGCAGAUGCAGCCGCUUCCUCCUCGCUAACGCCGCCGCCUCACUUCCUGUCCACCUCACUUCCUGUCCACCUCACUUCCUGUUAAACACACAAACAUGAUUAAUGUAGUUUUAUAGACGAUACCAAACGGUUCUUUAGUCGGUUUAAAGGUUUGGUUGAGAUCAGAACACGAUCAGAACAUUCAUUGAUCCAUUAAUUUAACCCCUUAAAGUUUCACCUUAAUUGAAAAAGCCCUUAACCUCUGCAGAAAACCAUUAAACCUUUAUCUUCAUUAUGAUUUCAUUCAUAAAUUCACACUUUAACUGCAGUAAAGUAUUAAAUACUGAAUAAGAAUCCCUCCAAAUAUCAUAAUUAUUACACAUUAAAUUGUAUGUAAGGUCUUUUAUUGAGUGGAUCGACUUUAUAAAGACGAUAUUAAGGUGUUGUUAAGGGGAUAGUUAAUGGGCUUUAGAGGUCGAACAUGAGAUAACUGUUUCUCAUUCUGGUUGAUGACGAGGUGAUGAAGGUGACGAGGUGAUGAAGGUGAUGAAGGUGAUGAAGGUGACGAAGGUGAUGAAGGUGACGAAGGUGAUGAAGGUGACGAAGGUGAUGAAGGUGAUGAAGGUGAUGAAGGACUGUCAGGCUGUAAUAAUAAUAAUAAGGAGGAAUCUUAUCCGGUGCUGAUCACAGAUAUUGAUCGUUAAUAACAGCUGAUCUAACAUCAUUAAAGGCUGAAGUUUAUCAAUAUAUUCUACUUCUAUAUAAAUAUCCGUCUGCGGCAUGUUGAAAGCUUUUUAUCCUCUAAAUAUGUUUUAUUAUCCGUAACUGAUCUUUAACAUGAAACCCCAAAGAGUUCAAUAUUAAAACAAUCAAUAAGACUUCAUUACAUAAAUAAUCAAUACAGACUAAACACAACCAGAACACGUGUCUCUUCACAAUUCAUUCAUUUCUAUUUAGAAUAAUAAAAUAAUGUAAAUGAUUUUAUAAAUAUAUAUCUAAUAAAUCAAUAACAAUGACGUUUUAGAAACGUUCUGGAAUAUUUCACAACUUCUUGGUUUGAUUUAAUAUUUUAUCUUAAUUGUUUAUUUAAUAUUGGACUCUUUGGGCCUCCGUACAUUACACAAUAAAAAAAAAAAUAUAUAUAUAUAUAUAUAUAUAUAAAUACAGUAUAUAUAUAUCUAUAUAUAUCUAUAGAGUAUGUAGUGCAGUUUUUCUCCUUUAAAAGUGGUAUAAUUUGAGUUAUUUUGCUGUUUAUUGCUGGUUUUGAUGCUUUUUGUUCGGUCGUAGUUUAUUGUUAGAUUAUUCAUUUAAAUAAUCGGUCAUUAGUUUUAUUGAUCUGAUAUUCUCCUGAGAAUUUAUUUCUGUUUGAAUAUUUUUGCUUUUAUAUGUUGAUGUUUAUAUGUUGAUGUUUAUAUGUU